GCAUUAAUGGGGUAGUGGUAACCUGGGUCGUUGCCAUGGGUGUUUAUCAUAGUACUCGACCCGCCGGGGGUUCGAUUCCCUCUUAAUGCA
rnacentral:tRNA from 1 species